GAAAACUGGUCUCACUACAUCCGCUAACCCUAGCUAGUUCUUAUUAUUCGGAUUAUUGUUUGCGUUUUAUUUUAUUUUAAUCUUAAUAUCUGAAUGUUAGUGAGAAGAAAAUGUCUUUGUCAAAACCGAUAAAGUACCAGAAGCGGGAAAAUCAUAACUGUGAUUUCAUGCCAAUUUUUGCACGAUGUCAGGGAAGUUCAACUCCACCGUAAGUUUCCACCACUUCUAAAGGAUGAAACGUAAAGAAAAAUAUGGAUACGUAAUGUGAGAUGUGAGAAUUUGGUAAUUAAGAGGACCACGACAGUCUGUAGUAGACAUUUCGUCUUCACGGAUGUCAUUCACGGUGGGCGACGACGCUUAAAAGAGAGGGCUGUGCCUGUGUUGUUUGCCUGGAAUAACUAAUCUCUACCGGUAGCCAGACCAAGCGUCUGGGAGAGAACACAACGGCCAGAUGAUGAAGUUAACUGAAGAGGAAAACAUGAGUGUUGAAGUGUUGAUUCAGUGCCACGAUUACGAUGUCAAACCAGAACCAUCAGCUUUGGAUAUAGCAUGUGAGAAAAUAGAAGCGCAACAGCAGGUGAUAGAAGAACUGCGAAAGAGGCUGGAAGAGGUUACACUGAAACAAUCAUUUGGCUUGGAGAGGUUUUCAGCAUCGGACGAUGACAUCAGAUUCUAAACCAGAUUUGCCAGCUACCAUCAUCUACAUGCAUUUUGGAGACAGAUUGAACCUGCAACUAGGAGAAUUGUGCGUGUUGGUACAUGGACAUCCACUUCCAGCACAACAGCAGCUCCUGACAAGGCAGCUGAUACACCUCGCCAACCAUUAGGCAUAGCUCACACUACAUCAUUUGGUAAACACUUAAAUUUAAGGUGUCCUUGUUACAGUGUAAUUAUACAGUCAAGUACUAAGUAAUAUUAAUUAACAACAUGUACUUACUAUAGGGUAAGGAUUAGAAUUAGGGUUUGGUUUAGGGUUAGUUGCAUGUAAUUAUUCAUAAUUUAAUGUAAUGUGUAAAAAGGACACUGUAAAAUAAAGUGUUACCCAUCAUUUUGUUUUUAAAAACAGCUUGCUGAUUAAUCGGCACCCAAGACAACACUAAUAUCUAUUUCAAUCUAAUUAAAAACACAUACAUACAUUUAUUAUGACCAGGCAAUGAUUAUCAUUAUUACAACUAAGACUUGUCCCCCAUGACUUCCUACCAGAGCUGAUGCCUUCCACUGAUUGAUGAACUGUUCCUUUUCUUGGUGUACCUGUCGCUGGGUCUGAAGGAGAAAGAUCUGGGUGAUUGCUUCAACAUUCAUCAGUCCACUGUCAGCAGGAUUAUCAAAACUUGGGUCAAUUUUUUGUAUACCUUACUGGGUGCCGUUGGAAUAUGGAUGUCUCCGGAGGAAAUUAGAGCCACAAUGCUGAGUGUGUUUGGCAAAUACUCUGACACCCAAAUUAUUAUUGACUGUACAGAGCUGAGAUGUCAGAUGCCUUCAUCUUUACUCUUACAGAGUAAGAUGUUUUCUCAGUAUAAAUCCCACACUACCCUGAAAGGAAUGAUUGGUGCAUCACCACAUGGUGCUGUUACUUUUGUUUCCUCACUGUAUUCUGGUUCUGUCAGUGACAAAGAAUUGUUCAGGCAAUCUGGCAUUAUCCCUCUUUUGAAUAAAGAUAUGGCUGUAAUGGUGGACAAGGGAUUCCGAAUCGAUGACCUAGUGCCCUGCAAAGUUUACAGACCACCAUUUCUAACUAAAAAGUCACAGCUGUCUCACGAUGAAGUGCUGGUCACUCAGGACAUUGCACAGUUAAGGAUACAUGUAGAGAGAACAAUUAGGCGCAUCAAAGAGAACAAACUGUUUGACACUGUUAUCCCUCUGACCAUUGCUGGCAGUAUUAACCAGCUUUUUGUGGUAGCCUGCCUUCUAAAUAUCAAAACAAGCCACUGGUCAAGGCAUGGGCCAAAUAACCUGUUAAUCUGUGUUAACCUCACUGAGCCAGAGAUUUGAUACAGAUUUAUGUAGCCAUACAAGUUAUGUUUUGACUUGUAGUGUUUUUCAUUAACUGUCCCCCUCUCUUUUAUAUCUAGUAAAAUGAAUGAAAUUUGAAAACUUAUUUUAUACAGUCACAAUGAGAUAUAAAUUGUAUUUAAAAUGUUAUUUUUUUAUUUGAAAUGCUUAUUUUUGUCACUGAAAAAUAAAUCUGUGUGAAAAAACAUUUCUCUUUGUUCAUUGCAAUAUAUACAGUACAAUUACUGUGUAACCUUUUGAAGAACAUACUUUUAAAUAAUCUAAAUCAUUCAAUGAAACAUUAAAAUUGCCGAUAAGAGCUCUCAAAAAAACAAAAACAAAAAAUAGGGGAAAAAAAAAAUGGUCAAGCAACUAACUUUACAACUCACAUUAUCCUGCAUCAAUCAUUACAUCCUUUUGGAGAAAGAUAGGUACUUUUGCAUAUACACAUUAAAAUAAAACUGGUCCACCCUCUCUCUGAUGGCUGCUGUUACAUUCGGGUCAACUUAUAUAUGCUGCACCAGCAUGUCAUCCUGGGCACAGAUCACAAAAUCGCACCAUUGCAGGCCAGUGAUCAACAGUUGACCCUGCACCUGCCAGUAAUACGAGUGGCAUUCAAGGAGUGCUAAAGUGCCAUGCUGCAUUUGAAGGUAUUUACAGUCCACAUAGUUCUUCACAUUAGGACACUUUAUCUCAACCAGUCCAAAUGGUGGCUGUGUGAAUGGAUCAUAAAUCAAGCCAUCUGGUGAGGCACCAAGCCAAGGGGCAUCAGGGUGGAUGACGAGGCCACAGGGCGAGUAGUUUACAUUUUUCAUCCUGCAAUACUCCGCUGCUGCCUCAAACUCCAUGUCUGCACCUCUUCUCAUUUCUGCUGUCUGCCUUGUUCCUUUGAGGAUUCUUUCUGCAAGAGACUCUGCAGACCUCACUCCCCUGACAAAACACACCUCUCUAAAACGUGAGGUGAUCCUAGGCCUACGGAGCUGAUGCCACUCCUGUUCCGCUGCCUGCUCUCAUGGCAGCCUCAAUCUUAUAGGCCAUGUCCAGUGUGACGAUCAAGCUUUUAAGGUGGAAGUGCUCCUCUUCAGUGCACACAUGCACACAUUCUGUUUGGUCAAGCCUGUACUCCCCAAGAGGCAGUGGUGGGUAAGGUGAAGGAUCUUGGUGCAUGUUGACCAACUUCGUGGGCAAUAUAGGCUGCUAGUAAGAGAGCACACUCCCCUUUUGUGCUAAGCCAAAAGCUGUCUCAACAAGGGUCUUCUCAUCACAUAUGCCCAUACUUGCUACUAAAGGUUUCUCCAUAAUGUCAAAGUCUUUAUAUGUGUCUCCAAUCUGUAGCAAAGAGAUGUCAAGUGGGUCCCCAACCAAGCCCUUGUAGAGUGUACUUCUGUAAAAGACAGUAAUAGUGAAAA